GAUAUAGGGAAAAAAGUGCUGUCAAAGAUUUUCCCCUUCCCUUCCAAAAUGUAAGCCCCUGGGGUCCCUGGCAGGGAUUUGGCAGCCACAGGAAUGUGUGGGAAUACACGAGAAUUCAGGACAGGGCUUAGGAGUGUGUGUUGUUAUGAGGACUAUCUCAUUGAGGACUUCUUGGCAUCACACUGACCCCAAGUCUCAGAUCAAAAUUGCCCAUGCCAACCCCCCAUAUAUCCUGGUUUCUCUCAGGUGCGUGUCCUUGUUCUCAGCAGCCUGAAACAAGGGUGUGCCCAGAGUCCCUGGCAAGGGAUGAGCACAGUGCCGCAGUAUUUGCUGAUAUUGUGCCUUUUAGGGCGUGAAGGAGUUAAACUUUUCAGAUGGAAAGCGAACUGAAGAUCAGACUAGCAGCCUGGUGACCUCCCGCUGCUGGGACAGCAGCAGCUCCAGCCAAGCCCGGCAGUUCCAUCCAUCCAUCCCUCGGCGCGGUGGGGCGGCGGGGAGCCGUGGCCGGAGAGUUCACACCCCAGAGAAACACCCUUGCAUGCUGCUGGGCACUCUGCAGGCUUUGGAGUUGGCAGCUCAGCAGGGACCAAAGGGGAAUCUGCAGAAAGGAAUUCCUUCCUUCAGAUAAACACAGAGGUGCUGCAGCUCACGACCACAUCUGGCCUUGACCUUCUCAGCAGUAGAUCAGGAUCCCAAAAUCCUUCACUACAAGACACCUGCACCUUUCAGAGUGGCAGCCUUGAUGUAAAUAGGUAGACACACGCACACUUCGCUUGACUCAGUGGAGCAGCUCCUGGUAGCAAAGCCAAGACCGUAAGUGCGUGCUGGGUUAGCGGGUGGGCACAGGCUUCCCUCGGGAUAGGAACACGCAGG
rnacentral:lncRNA from 1 species